UACAGAGGGUGCGAGCGUUGUCCGGAAUCACUGGGCGUAAAGGGCGCGUAGGUGGCGCGACAAGUCAGUGGUGAAAGCUCGGCGCUUAACGCCGAGUCGGCCACUGAUACUGUCGGGCUCGAGCACUGUAGAGGCAGAUGGAAUUCCGGGUGUAGCGGUGGAAUGCGUAGAGAUCCGGAAGAACACCGGUGGCGAAGGCGGUCUGCUGGGCAGUAGCUGACACUGAGGCGCGACAGCGUGGGGAGCAAACAGG
rnacentral:rRNA from 1 species